rnacentral:lncRNA from 10 species
CUGGUCCACUGGUCCAAAGAGGAUAAAAUAGACAUGGAGCAGAACUGGAUCCAACCUGCUGCUUAGAGACACCCAAUUGAGUCCAACCUAGAUCAGUUUCUCUUGGAAACUGGAUCUGACUCCCAUAAAGAAGCCCAUGCUAACCUGCUAAAGAAUAAGACCAUACGGAAGAAAGAUGAGUUGUUUAACUGGGGCCAUUCUGGACUAUCCAGCCUACAGCAAACCCGCCAGCUGACUGUAGAUGCGGGAGCAAACCCAGCCAAGAUCAGCCAAGAUCAGCCAAUCCCAGCAAAGACAAGAAGAACAUCCUAGGUGGCCAAUAAACUUUUGAUCAAAAUAAAUCCUUUAUGUUCUACACCACAGA